GGCGACCGGCAAACGGGUGCGGAACACGUACAGAACCUUCCUUCGAGCGGGGAAUAGCCCAGAGAAAUUUGGAUUAAUACCCCAUAGCAUAACGGAGUGGCAUCACUCUGUUAUUAAAGAUUUAUCACUUGAAGAUGGCUGUGCGGCUGAUUAGGUAGUUGGCGGGGUAACGGCCCACCAAGCCUGCGAUCAGUAACUGGUGUGAGAGCACGACCAGUCACACGGGCACUGAGACACGGGCCCGACUCCUACGGGAGGCAGCAGUAAGGAAUAUUGGUCAAUGGACGAAAGUCUGAACCAGCCAUGCCGCGUGGAGGAUGAAGGUCCUCUGGAUUGUAAACUUCUUUUAUAUGGGACGAAAAAAGGCUUUUCUAAGUCGUCUGACGGUACCAUAUGAAUAAGCACCGGCUAACUCCGUGCCAGCAGCCGCGGUAAUACGGAGGGUGCAAGCGUUAUCCGGGUUCACUGGGUUUAAAGGGUGCGUAGGUGGGUUGGUAAGUCAGUGGUGAAAUCUCCGAGCUUAACUUGGAAACUGCCAUUGAUACUAUCAGUCUUGAAUAUUGUGGAGGUUAGCGGAAUAUGUCAUGUAGCGGUGAAAUGCUUAGAUAUGACAUAGAACACCAAUUGCGAAGGCAGCUGGCUACACAUAUAUUGACACUGAGGCACGAAAGCGUGGGGAUCAAACAGGAUUAGAUACCCUGGUAGUCCACGCCCUAAACUAUGGAUACUCGACAUACGCGAUAAACUGUGUGUGUCUG
rnacentral:rRNA from 1 species